rnacentral:rRNA from 1 species
GUGCCAGCCGCCGCGGUAAUACGUAGGGUGCGAGCGUUAAUCGGAAUUACUGGGCGUAAAGCGUGCGCAGGCGGUCCGCUGUGUCCUGUGUGAAAGCCCCGGGCUUAACCUGGGAAUGGCAUGGGAAACUGGCGGGCUGGAGUGUGGCAGAGGGGGGUGGAAUUCCGCGUGUAGCAGUGAAAUGCGUAGAGAUGCGGAGGAACACCGAUGGCGAAGGCAGCCCCCUGGGCCAACACUGACGCUCAGGCACGAAAGCGUGGGGAGCAAACAGGAUUAGAAACCCUUGUAGUCC